GCGGAAGUAGCUCAAUUGGUAGAGCGAUAGCCUUCCAAGCUAUAGGUUGCGGGUUCGACCCUCGUCUUCCGCUCAA
rnacentral:tRNA from 1 species